CUCUCACAAACACAGCAGAGAGAGCGAAGCCGAGACCCCACCAGUUUUCUUUGAUCUUCAACUUUGAACAGAAUCAAAAGAGACAGCAAACGCUCAAUGGCAACAGAAAGUAAUUUGUUAGAUCUUGAGAUUGAGUAUGAUGAUGAUGAGCUUGAUGAGCAUGAAGAACUUGAACUAGAAAAAAAAUCAAAACAACUCAAAGAGCAAGCUGACUUUCUCAAAAGGGACUGUAAGAGCUUGGACUCUAGCCAACCCUCAUCUUCAUCUGCUCCACCUCCAUCUUCUUUUUCUAGAGUAGAGGCCACUCUAGCUGCCAUUCUUGAUCAGCUCCAGCUUGUACGUAGCGACCUUGGUGACAUCCGGGAGA